GCACCCAUAGCUCAGUUGGAUAGAGCAUUUGUUUGCGGAACAAAAGGUCGUGCGUUCGAAUCGCACUGGGUGCAC
rnacentral:tRNA from 1 species